rnacentral:rRNA from 1 species
AACGAACGCUGGCGGCAUGCCUAACACAUGCAAGUCGAACGAGACCUUCGGGUCUCGUGGCGCACGGGUGCGUAACGCGUGGGAACCUGCCCUUAGGUUCGGAAUAACUCCCCGAAAGGGGUGCUAAUACCGGAUAAUGUCUUCGGACCAAAGAUUUAUCGCCUUUGGAUGGGCCCGCGUGGGAUUAGCUAGUUGGUAGGGUAAAAGCCUACCAAGGCGACGAUCCAUAGCUGGUCUGAGAGGAUGAUCAGCCACACUGGGACUGAGACACGGCCCAGACUCCUACGGGAGGGAGCAGUGGGGAAUAGUGGACAAUGGGCGAAAGGCUGAUCCAGCAAGGCCGCGUGAGUGAUGAAGGCCUGAGGGUUGUAAAGCUCUUUUACCCGGGAUGAUAAUGACGGUACCGGGAGAAUAAGCUCCGGCUAACUCCGUG